rnacentral:rRNA from 1 species
AGAGUUUGAUCCUGGCUCAGGACGAACGCUGGCGGCGUGCCUAACACAUGCAAGUCAGGGAGAAAAGGGUAGCAAUAUCCUGAGUAAACCGGCGAACGGGUGCGUAACACGUAGGCAACUUACCUUGUGAACGGGGAUAACCCCGCGAAAGCGGGGCUAAUACCCGAUGAGAUCCAGUCACAGCAUUGUAGCGGGAUCAAAGGCCCCAAAAGGGCGUCACAAGAUGGGCCUGCGUCCCAUUAGAUUGUUGGCGGGGUAAUGGCCCACCAAGUCGAUGAUGGGUAGCUGGUCUGAGAGGACGAUCAGCCACACUGGAACUGAGACACGGUCCAGACUUCUACGGAAGGCAGCAGUGAGGAAUAUUGCUCAAUGGGCGAAAGCCUGAAGCAGCGACGCCGCGUGAGGGAUGAAAUCCGUUAGGAUGUAAACCUCUUUUACGAGGGAAGAAUAUCCGCCUAUGGCGGAGGUGACUGUACCUCGUGAAUAAGCACCGGCCAACUACGUGCCAGCAGCCGCGGUAAUACGUAGGGUGCAAGCGUUGUCCGGAAUUACUGGGUGUAAAGGGUCCGCAGGCGGGCAAGCAAGUCGGUGGUGAAAGUUCACGGCUCAACCGUGAAACUGCCUUCGAUACUGCUUGUCUUGAGUUCGAGAGAGGAUAAUGGAAUUCAUGGUGUAGCGGUGAAAUGUGUAGAGAUCAUGAAGAACACCGGUAGCGAAGGCGGUUAUCUGGCUCGAUACUGACGCUCAGGGACGAAAGCGUGGGUAGCAAACAGGAUUAGAUACCCUGGUAGUCCACGCCUUAAACGAUGGAUGUUCGGUGUCGGUCCGCAAGGAUCGGUGCCUGAGCUAACGCGUUAAACAUCCCACCUGGGGAGUACGAUCGCAAGGUUGAAACUCAAAGGAAUUGACGGGGGCCCGCACAAGCAGUGGAGCAUGUGGUUCAAUUCGAUGCAACGCGAAGAACCUUACCUGGGUUUGACAUGCUCGUAGUAGGAUCCCGAAAGGGAAACGACUCGUAAAGCCGAGAGCGAGCACAGGUGUUGCAUGGCUGUCGUCAGCUCGUGUCGUGAGAUGUUGGGUUAAGUCCCGUAACGAGCGAAACCCUUGUCUCCAGUUGCCAGCGGGUAAUGCCGGGGACUCUGGAGAGACCGCCGGUGUCAAACCGGAGGAAGGCGGGGAUGACGUCAAGUCCUCAUGGCCUUUAUGUCCAGGGCUGCACACGUGCUACAAUAGCGUUUACAGAGGGACGCGAACUCGCGAGAGGGAGCUAAUCCCAAAAAACACGCCCCAGUC